UGGAGAGGCCAGGUCAUCGCCCGGCUGUCUGUGACAGCCGGGAGGAAAGUCCGGACUCCGGAGAGCACGGCACCGGGUAAUUCCCGGCGGCCGCCAGGGUUUCCCUGGCGACAAGAGAAAGUGCCACAGAAACAAGACCGCCCCGGUUUGGUCCGAGUGAUCUAUCGGGGUAAGGGUGAAACGGUGGGGUAAGAGCCUACCGGUCUUCCGGUAACGGGAGGCGUCAUGGUAAACCUUGCCGGGAGCAAAACCAAGCAGCGGGUGGGCUGCUCGUCCAGAGCCCGCGGGUAGGUUGCUGGAGCAGGCUGGAGAUAGUCUGUGUAGAUAGAUGGUGACCCACGACAGAAUCCGGCUUACCGGCCUCUCUGCACG
rnacentral:RNase_P_RNA from 2 species